GAUGAACGCUGGCGGCGUGCCUAAUACAUGCAAGUCGAGCGAACAGACAAGGAGCUUGCUCCUCUGACGUUAGCGGCGGACGGGUGAGUAACACGUGGAUAACCUACCUAUAAGACUGGGAUAACUUCGGGAAACCGGAGCUAAUACCGGAUAAUAUAUUGAACCGCAUGGUUCAAUAGUGAAAGACGGUUUUGCUGUCACUUAUAGAGGGAUCCGCGCCGCAUUAGCUAGUUGGUAAGGUAACGGCUUACCAAGGCAACGAUGCGUAGCCGACCUGAGAGGGUGAUCGGCCACACUGGAACUGAGACACGGUCCAGACUCCUACGGGAGGCAGCAGUAGGGAAUCUUCCGCAAUGGGCGAAAGCCUGACGGAGCAACGCCGCGUGAGUGAUGAAGGUCUUCGGAUCGUAAAACUCUGUUAUUAGGGAAGAACAAAUGUGUAAGUAACUAUGCACGUCUUGACGGUACCUAAUCAGAAAGCCACGGCUAACUACGUG
rnacentral:rRNA from 1 species